AAGUUGGAGACUCAGGAAAGCCAGUGGUAUAAUUUAGUCUGAGUUCACAUCAUCAUCACCAUCAUCAUCACCGCCAUCAUCAUCACCAUCACCAUAAUCACCAUCACCAUCAUCAUCACCAUCAUCACUCUCAUUAUCACUACCAUCACCAUUAUCAUUAUCCCCUCAUUAUCAUCAGCACCAUCACCAUUGUUAUCACCAUCAUCAUUAUCACUAUCAUCACUACCAUCACUAUCACUAUCACUAUCACCAUCAUCACUAUCAUCAUCACCAUCAUCACCCAUCAUCACUAUCACCACCAUCACUAUCACCAAAACCAUGAUCACACCACCAUCAUCACCAUUAUCAUCAUCACUAUUAUCAUCACUACCAUCACGAUCACCAUUAUCAUUAUCCCCAUCGUCAUCACCACCAUCACCAUUGUUAUCAUCAUCACUAUCACUAUAAUUAUCACUAUCACCAUCAUCAUCAUCACCAUCACCAUCACUAUCACUAUAAUUAUCACUAUCACCAUCAUCAUCAUCACCAUCACCAUCACUAUCACUAUAAUUAUCACUAUCAUCAUCAUCAUCACCAUCACCAUCACUAUCACUAUAAUUAUCACUAUCACCAUCAUCAUCAUCACCAUCACCAUCACUAUAAUUAUCACUAUCACCAUCAUCAUCAUCAUCACCAUCACCAUCACUAUAAUUAUCACUAUCACCAUCAUCAUCAUCAUCACCAUCACCAUCACUAUCACCUAUAAUUAUCACUAUCACCAUCAUCAUCAUCACCAUCACCAUCACUAUCACUAUAAUUAUCACUAUCCAUCAUCAUCAUCACCAUCACCAUCACUAUCACUAUAAUUAUCACUAUCACCAUCAUCAUCACCAUCACCAUCACUAUCAUCACUGUCAUGAUCAUCACCGUCGUCUACCGUCACUAUCAUCAGAUAAUGAAUUAUCUUUUACUGUCUGUGGACAAUUAUCCUAGGACAAGAUUUCUCUAUCUUGGCACUAUUUUCAUCUGAGGUCUGGAUAAUUCUUUGUUGUGGGAAG
rnacentral:lncRNA from 1 species